rnacentral:tRNA from 1 species
UCUCGAUUGGUCUAGUGGUCAGGAUACCUGCUUGUCAACGGACAAGUACGCAGGUGGCCGGGGUUCGAUUCCCCGAUCGAGAG